CAUAUUUGUAUCUAACUGUUGGAUCCUGUGAAGUCGCAUUACCAUAAACUAUUAUCGUUGGCAAAACAUUAAAUUAAAAUUCAAACAUGAAAUGAGGUCGUUACAGUUAGUUUUUCAAAACAGAUGUUCCCAAUAAGAAAGGUGAAGCGAAGAAAUCGUUCUGCGCCACAUCUUUCAUCGCCAAAUCUUGUAUAAUUAAGAUAUAUUAAUCUCGGUUAAAAAGCGACGUAAAGCGUGUUGCUGGUGAAGGACUCUCUAGUGCCUCUCAUUAAUUCUUGGCUAGUUUCAAAACAAUUGCUAGAAAAACGUUGACAAAUCAACACGUACUAUUAACUUUAAUCAAUUGUGAGUAAUCCCAGCGUGUAACAAAUGAUUUAUGAAAAUGAAUUCUUUUAAUUUAAAACUUUA